rnacentral:lncRNA from 1 species
AAAUGGAUUCAGGUUGAUUGAGCUCUCACUACAAUCCGCUCCGAAUGCAAGAAGUAAAGUAUCCAUCGACACGGAUCGCAUCCACCGUGCUAUAUCGUACCAGCAAAAUAUCGACACGAUACAGCCCCUCUGCCGAUAACAUAAUUCAAAACCCUCUAUUCUUAAAUUAGUAAGGCUUAGUUUGGUAUUGAGGUGGAUCUAACGCUAUUAGAUAGAAUGGAGUUGAGAAAAAGGGAUACGCUUCUGCGUUCUCCGAUGAAACUGCAGAAAAUAUAUCGUAACCAACUAACCGCAAUAUGCGAAACGCAAUAUUACUUACGGCAACAAACACGGUAUUUUCGCAUUGUCGUUUCUCACCGCACGUAACGCAAUCUUCCCGCAAUCCCAAACGAAGCCUAAGUAAUUUUCUCAAUAAAAUUCAAAAGAUUUGAUAAAAAUACAUAAUAAAUAGUUAGGUAAUUUAUUGCUAAAGAAAAUAAAUAUUUCAUACCAUUACGUAUCAACACACAUAUAUUUUUUAUGACCGAUAGGCCAGCACGCACAGUGCCGGCAAGUAUCUGGGACAAUCCCGUGCUACGACACUCCUUGGAUGCGUGUUUAAUGCUAUUUCAUAGCGCAAACAAUUAAAAAAAAAGAUAUACAUAUUUUUAUUUUAUUUUUUUAUUCAUUAUAAAUGUAAGAUGAUAAAUAUUUUAGAUUUUUUAUGAAUGCAUACAAUUUUUUUAUUGGUGCAGAAUUUUUUUCUUAGAAAUACAUAAAUUAUCAAUAAAAAUUUUACUAACUUUCAUUGUACGAGAAAUAUAAUAAUAUUUUACAAAAAUUAAUAUUUUAUAUAUAAUAAAUAUAGAUUAUUAUAUAAAUAAUAUUAUAUUUUAUUAGCGACGUCCAUAUCAUGUCCGUGUCUUAAUUAUUUGAAAGCUGCUGAGUCGUCGUGUCCUGUGUCCCGUGUCAGUUUCCAUGACGUCUAGCAUAUAACUUAUCUCAACUAUCAAUCAUUUUGAUCUAGAUAUCUAACAUUUAAAAUUUUGAUUUUCUAUCUAAUCUUUUAAUUUAUUUGACU